UACGUAGGGUGCAAGCGUUGUCCGGAAUUAUUGGGCGUAAAGAGCUCGUAGGCGGUUUGUCGCGUCUGCUGUGAAAACUCGGGGCUCACCCCCGGAAGUGCGCUGGAAACUAAUCAACUAGAGUACGGGAGAGGGAAGUGGAAUUCCUGGUGUAGCGGUGAAAUGCGCAGAUAUCGUGAGGAACACCAGAGGCGAAGGCGGCUACCUGGACAAUUGCUGACGCUCAGGCACGAAAGCGUGGGGAGCAAAAGGG
rnacentral:rRNA from 1 species